rnacentral:rRNA from 1 species
UACGAAGGGGGCAAGCGUUGUUCGGAAUUAUUGGGCGUAAAGGGAGCGUAGGCGGUUCGGCAAGUCUUUAGUGAAAUCUCUGGGCUCAACUCAAAGUCUGCUGGAGAAACUGCCGGGCUGGAGUAUGGGAGAGGUGAGUGGAAUUCCCGGUGUAGCGGUGAAAUUCGUAGAUAUUCGCAAGAACACCAGUGGCGAAGGCGGCUCACUGGCCCGAUACUGACGCUGAGGUGCGAAAGCGUGGGGAGCAAACAGG